rnacentral:rRNA from 15 species
UAACCAAAUACGACUCUCGGCAACGGAUAUCUCGGCUCUCGCAUCGAUGAAGAACGUAGCGAACUGCGAUACUUGGUGUGAAUUGCAGAAUCCCGUGAACCAUCGAGUCUUUGAACGCAAGUUGCGCCCGAAGCCAUUAGGCCAAGGGCACGUCUGCC